UACCAUGUCAACACACUGACGCUAUGCCAGUUAGGUCCUGAAAACACAACACCACUCACUCUACCAUGUCAACACACUGACGCUAUGCCAGUUAGGUCCCGAUAACACAACACCACUCACUCUACCAUGUCAACACACUGACGCUAUGCCAGUUAGGUCCUGAAAACACAACACCACUCACUCUACCAUGUCAACACACUGACGCUAUGCCAGUUAGGUCCUGAAAACACAACACCACUCACUCUACCAUGUCAACACACUGACGCUAUGCCAGUUAGGUCCCGAUAACACAACACCACUCACUCUACCAUGUCAACACACUGACGCUAUGCCAGUUAGGUCCUGAAAACACAACACCACUCACUCUACCAUGUCAACACACUGACGCUAUGCCAGUUAGGUCCCGAUAACACAACACCACUCACUCUACCAUGUCAACACACUGACGCUAUGCCAGUUAGGUCCUGAAAACACAACACCACUCACUCUACCAUGUCAACACACUGACGCUAUGCCAGUUAGGUCCUGAAAACACAACACCACUCACUCUACCAUGUCAACACACUGACGCUAUGCCAGUUAGGUCCCGAUAACACAACACCACUCACUCUACCAUGUCAACACACUGACGCUAUGCCAGUUAGGUCCUGAAAACACAACACCACUCACUCUACCAUGUCAACACACUGACGCUAUGCCAGUUAGGUCCCGAUAACACAACACCACUCACUCUACCAUGUCAACACACUGACGCUAUGCCAGUUAGGUCCUGAAAACACAACACCACUCACUCUACCAUGUCAACACACUGACGCUAUGCCAGUUAGGUCCCGAUAACACAACACCACUCACUCUACCAUGUCAACACACUGACGCUAUGCCAGUUAGGUCCCGAUAACACAACACCACUCACUCUACCAUGUCAACACACUGACGCUAUGCCAGUUAGGUCCCGAUAACACAACACCACUCACUCUACCAUGUCAACACACUGACGCUAUGCCAGUUAGGUCCUGAAAACACAGGGGUGCCUCACUACCAUCCGUGUCCUAAGAAAGAACAGCCCUACCUAAUAACAGAAUGCAAUGUUGCUAGGUGUGAAAGGCAGUGUGCAAGUCUUUUAAAACACUUGAACAUCAGAGCUCUAGAGACGUGUGUAGCAGUGGUGUUUCCAUUUGUCUCAGUCUCAACACAACAUUACAUCAUAUGGAACAACAUCAGGAGAUGCAUGCAUCCAGAAGCACUUGAGGGGGAAACGUGGAAUAUCAAGUGGUAGUGACUUCUCUGACCCACUCUUCCUCUUGAGCAGCCAUCAUCAAAUCUUGCUGA